AGAGGUGGCAAGCGUUGUUCGGAAUUACUGGGCGUAAAGGGCGCGUAGGCGGCCUUCUUAGUCGGACGUGAAAUCCCCAGGCUCAACUUGGGAACUGCGUCCGAUACUGGAGGGCUUGAGUGCGGGAGAGGGAUGUGGAAUUCCAGGUGUAGCGGUGAAAUGCGUAGAUAUCUGGAGGAACACCGGUGGCGAAGGCGGCAUCCUGGACCGACACUGACGCUGAGGCGCGAAAGCUAGGGGAGCAAACGGGAUUAGAUACCCCGGUAGUCCUAGCCCUAAACGAUGAGUGCUUGGUGUGGCGGGUAUCGAUCCCUGCCGUGCCGAAGCUAACGCAUUAAGCACUCCGCCUGGGGAGUACGGUCGCAAGGCUGAA
rnacentral:rRNA from 1 species